AGGUUUUUGAAAAUUGCUAUUUGGCCUCCACCCUUCUGGGAUGAAUGAGCCCCUCCUUAUCCUCCUCUCUUCAGACAUCUCUCAUCAAUCCUGAUUCUCAUUUGAAUCACGUGCCAUCUAGAACAACAUGAUCUAGGUGUGUUCUAACUGGGAGAAAGAAGAAGACAAAGGACUUUUGCUGAUCCUGACUCUGCCUGAUCCUGAGGUCAACAGGAAGCUGAUCUGGUCUUCACAAAUAUGUGAUUAGGUGAUCCCGAAGUAUUGGAAACUGGAGGAUGGUCAUCAAUGGCAAAAGGACUGAACAAGUUGUGGUAUAUGAUUGUUUUGGAAUACUAUUGUACUUUACAGAAAGAGGAGGGAAAUAGUUUCAGAAAAACCUGGGAAGACAUCUGAAUGGAGGCCUAAUGAAGUGAACUCCACCUUGAGAACAUCACCUGCAGUAACAAGAUUGCAAUGCUGAUCAAUAGUAAAGACUUAGAUACUUUCAGCAAUUCAAUGAUCUAUGACAAUUCCAAAGGACACCUGAUGAAAAAUGUUAUUCUCAGGACUCAUGAAUUCUAAGUAUGGG
rnacentral:lncRNA from 1 species